AUCCAGUCACCUUCCCCCCUUCCUUCCCUUCGAUUCGUACUAGCGUAGGCUGUCCUCGCACGCAAUGCCGCCAUGCUAGGCUUCCGCUUGUGCGGGCCGGGGCGACGACCGACGAGUUCCCGCAGCUGCCUGGAUGUCGUCAAGAGGUGCGUCCGGCCGGUGGUGGUCGACGUCGACCACGAGCAGCCCGAUGCGAUCCGCUGAUGGGACUCUGAUGAUGAAAAUGACAAAGCUACUGCGGCAUCUUGGGAAUAUAUUCUUAAAGCAUCUGUAUCUCGGUGGAAUAGAGUGGAGUUGACCAAAUUCAACAGCUUUUUACUCGGGCCGGCUUUGGAGGAUGCAGAAAAAUAAAAAUGAUGUUGAAGAGUACGACGACAGAAUUAAGGAGUUGAAUAAAACACUCAAUGAGGACGAGAAAUUUAGUUAUAUUGAGAUCCGACCCCGGUUUCGUAGACCAACAUGCUUCUAUCCAUGGUACAAAAUGUAUCAGAUGAAAAACACAAAUCCUAGUAACGCUUCUGACUAUCUCUCUUCUUUCUUUUUUUUUGGUCAAAAAGAAACUAUCUGAAGUUCUGAACUACUGCGAGCCUCAUGGAUUUUUCUAACCCCACCCCACCCCAGGUUCUUUGAGCAAACAAUUUACGGAGCCUGGUGUAUUUGAGUAUAUGAUAACUGCUAUGCUCCGGUUCUUCUUGUUGAGGUCUGCUGAUGAUUUUUUUCAUGACCAGCCUAUGAGAUGGCAUCGAUUAUCUAAGGAAAAAUGUCUUCCUCCAAUCACGGGAGCACGCCCGUGAGAUUAGUCCGAUCAGUUUCCUAGAAGUUUUCCACAUACCAACUUU